UACAGAGGUCUCAAGCGUUGUUCGGAUUCAUUGGGCGUAAAGGGUGCGUAGGCGGCGCGGUAAGUCGGGUGUGAAAUCUCGGAGCUUAACUCCGAAACUGCAUUCGAUACUGCCGUGCUUGAGGACUGGAGAGGAGACUGGAAUUUACGGUGUAGCGGUGAAAUGCGUAGAUAUCAGGAGGAACACCAAUAGCGAAGGCAGCUCGCUGGGACGUAACUGACACUGAGGCGCGAAAGCGUGGGGAGCGAACAGG
rnacentral:rRNA from 1 species